rnacentral:rRNA from 1 species
AACGAACGCUGGCGGCAGGCUUAACACAUGCAAGUCGAACGGGUGCAGCAAUGCAUCAGUGGCAGACGGGUGAGUAACACGUGGGAACCUUCCUAGGGGUACGGAACAACUCAGGGAGACUUGAGCUAAUAUCGUAUACGUCCGUGAGGAGAAAGAUUUAUCGCUCUUAGACGGGCCCGCGUCGGAUUAGCUAGUUGGUGGGGUAACGGCCGACCAAGGCGACGGUACGUAGCUGAUCUUAGAGGAUGAUCAGCCACACUGGGACUGAGACACGGCCCAGACUCCUACGGGAGGCAGCAGUGGGAAUCUUGGACAAUGGGCGCAAGCCUGAUCCAGCCAUGCCGCGUGAGUGAAGAAGGUCUUCGGAUUGUAAAGCUCUUUUGCCAGGGACGAUAAUGACGGUACCUGGAGAAUAAGCCCCGGCAAACUUCGUGCCAGCAGCCGCAGUAA